rnacentral:rRNA from 1 species
GACGAACGCUGGCGGCGUGCCUAAUACAUGCAAGUCGAGCGGAACUGGGGGAGCUUGCUCCUUCCAGUUUAGCGGCGGACGGGUGAGUAACACGUGGGCAACCUGCCCUGCAGAUCGGGAUAACUCCGGGAAACCGGUGCUAAUACCGAAUAGUUUGGCGCCUCUCCUGAGGCGCUACGGAAAGACGGUUUCGGCUGUCACUGCAGGAUGGGCCCGGGGCCCAUUAGCUAGUUGGGGGGGUAACGGCCCACCAAGGCGACGAUGCGGAGCCGACCUGAGGGGGUGACCGGCCACACUGGGACUGAGACACGGCCCAGACUCCUACGGGAGGCAGCAGUAGGGAAGCUUCCGAAAUGGACGAAAGUCUGACGGAGCAACGCCGCGUGAGUGACGAAGGUUUUCGGAUCGUAAAACUCUGUUGUGAGGGAAGAACACGUACCAACUAACUAUUGGUCCCUUGACGGUACCUCGCCAGAAAGCCACGGCUAACUACGUGCCAGCAGCCGCGGUAA